rnacentral:rRNA from 1 species
AUUGAACGCUGGCGGCAGGCCUAACACAUGCAAGUCGAGCGGAUGAAGGGAGCUUGCUCCUGGAUUCAGCGGCGGACGGGUGAGUCAUGCCUAGGAAUCUGCCUGGUAGUGGGGGAUAACGUCCGGAAACGGGCGCUAAUACCGCAUACGUCCUGAGGGAGAAAGUGGGGGUUCUUCGGACCUCACGCUAUCAGAUGAGCCUAGGUCGGAUUAGCUAGUUGGUGGGGUAAAGGCCUACCAAGGCGACGAUCCGUAACUGGUCUGAGAGGAUGAUCAGUCACACUGGAACUGAGACACGGUCCAGACUCCUACGGGAGGCAGCAGUGGGGAAUAUUGGACAAUGGGCGAAAGCCUGAUCCAGCCAUGCCGCGUGUGUGAAGAAGGUCUUCGGAUUGUAAAGCACUUUAAGUUGGGAGGAAGGGCAGUAAGUUAAUACCUUGCUGUUUUGACGUUACCAACAGAAUAAGCACCGGCUAACUUCGUG